rnacentral:rRNA from 1 species
AGUAGUUGAUCAGUGGCGUCGAGGACGACGCUGGCGGCGUGCUUAACACAUGCAAGUCGAACGGUAAGGCCCUUCGGGGUACACGAGUGGCGAACGGGUGAGUAACACGUGGGUGAUCUGCCCUGCACUUCGGGAUAAGCCUGGGAAACUGGGUCUAAUACCGGAUAGGACCAUGGACUUCACGGUUUGUGGUGGAAAGCUUUUGCGGUGUGGGAUGGGCCCGCGGCCUAUCAGCUUGUUGGUGGGGUAAUGGCCUACCAAGGGCGACGACGGGUAGCCGGCCUGAGAGGGUGUCCGGCCACACUGGGACUGAGAUACGGCCCAGACUCCUACGGGAGGCAGCAGUGGGGAAUAUUGCACAAUGGGCGCAAGCCUGAUGCAGCGACGCCGCGUGAGGGAUGACGGCCUUCGGGUUGUAAACCUCUUUCAAUAGGGACGAAGCGCAAGUGACGGUACCUAUAGAAGAAGCACCGGCCAACUACGUG